CUCAGUGAUUCACUGUCGGUGCUUUAACUCCAGACUUGCAGGCCAGUCCAGGAUUGACGAGCUGGAGAGAGAAACCACAGCCCAAGCCACAGCACUGAUGUCUUUAAAAAGCAGACUGACUGCUACGGAGAGCAAAACAAGUGACCUCCAAAAACAGAAUGCAGACUUGCAGGCCAGACUGAGCAGCACUGAGAGUGAACUUCUCAUCAUCAAGUCCAGGAUUGACGAGCUGGAGAGAGAAACCACAGAGUAAACAAAGGUGGCCUUUUCCACAGCUCUGUCUGAUGCAGGGCAUGUUGGUCCAUACAACACAGAUGUAACACUGAAAUACAGCAAGG